AGUUCAACUUUAAAGGUAUCAAUUCCUUUACCAAAGAACUUCUUUUCUAAAAAGAAUGCCGAACAACUCUUGUUCUUCAACAAGGUAGAAGUAAUAUCUCCUUGUUUCUUUAGGAUAUCCUACGAAAUGAUACUUAUUGGAUCAAGAUUCAAGAUUAUCAAUCUGCAAAUGCUUGACAUAAAUCAGAUACCUCUAGACCUA
rnacentral:lncRNA from 1 species